rnacentral:rRNA from 1 species
AACGAACGCUGGCGGUGUGCCUCAUACAUGCAAGUCGUACGCGAAUCCUGCCGCAAGGCAGGGUUUGAGUGGCAAACGGGUGCGUAACACGUAGGUAAUCUUCCUUUGAGUUGGGGAUAAGCCCUCGAAAGGGGGUCUAAUACCGAAUAACACUUCGGGCCGGCAUCGGCCUGAAAUUAAAGAUGGCCUCUGCUUGCAAGCUAUCGCUCGGAGAUGAGCCUGCGGCCGAUUAGUUAGUUGGCGGGAUAAAAGCCCACCAAGACUUCGAUCGGUAGCCGGUCUGAGAGGAUGUCCGGCCACACUGGGACUGAGAUACGGCCCAGACUCCUACGGGAGCAGCAGUAGGGAUAUUGCGCAAUGGCCGCAAGGCUGACGCAGCAACACCGC